GCCCGGCUAGCUCAAUCGGUAGAGCGUGAGACUCUUAUUCCAGCCUGAUGGAGACAUCUGCGGAAACAAAGAAUUACAUCUCAAGGUUGUGGGUUCGACCCCCACGUCGGGCU